rnacentral:rRNA from 1 species
AUGGAUGUAUCUAGACGUAUUUUAGUUCUAGAUACAUCCAUUUUCGAGACAAGUAAUUCCGAAAGGAGGGAGUACUUGAUAUAUGUGUUUUUUAUUAUUGUAGGGAUGGGAAGAACAUGUGUUUAUGUUCAUCAUGUGGAUAAAGAGGCCUUUUUGAAAGGCAAUGUUGAGCCGGACCCGGAUGAGCUUGACAUAGUGUUUGAGAGUAGUCCUAGCUAUGCGGAGCUCUUGGAACAAGCGAGGAAGGAUUUGAAUUGGAUGGACCCAAGUGACGUUGUUGAGUUCGAGGGAAGGCAUAAUGUUGGUUUUGAAAUGCACAUCCGUUGGAAGACAAUGCGUGUGAACUCCGAGCAACAUUGGGUUGCAUACAUGGAGACGGUUGCCGAAUCUCUAGACAAGGCUCUUGAGUUAUUUGCCUCCAAGAAGGUUGAGUCUACUUUGCAUUUGGACUUGAACCGGAACCCCUCCCCGUUGGUUGCUAGCACUCCCCCACCCAUGAACCAAGAUCAAAUGAGUGAACCUCAUUUCACGCAACAAGAUUGGCCAACAUUGAGCCCGACUCCAAACAACCAAAAUGAAGCUUUUGAAGAGGAGAAUGAUGAGUACGAGGAGGAUGACAACGAAGUUGAUCUCCAUGGCAACAAUGUGGGUGAUCUCGACCAAUACCAUGUGCUAGAGACAAUGGACCAAUCCAUCCAUUUUUCCUGUGCAUAUGCAUCGGACUCGCAUGACGAUGGUCCCGAUGAAGAAGUUGAUGAGGAGGGGUUCACGUCGAUGGAGGCCCAAGCAUUCAAGAAGGUAUUCGGGCGGGAUCACAAGACACUAUUGUUCAAGGAUCUUAGUCUCGUGGAUGAAGCCGUUGUGGAUGGUGGCAAAUGCAUGUCUCUUGGAGCUAGGCCAAGUUCUCACCGUGAUUUGGAAGAUGGCAAGAACGAUAUUUCCCGGUUGUGA